GUGGACUCGAACCGUCCCCUUCUUUUUGAUCGCAUCGCGGGUUUGAGGGAAGGGAAUCUUGCUCUCUCGUCUUUAUUAACGUCACCGCGACCUUUCUCUUUCUGUGUCUAGAUGCAUUCUGUGAUUUGACGGAUUGAAAUCAACUUCUCUUUUACUUUACAUUGCUAGUUGAUUCUUGCUAUCGCCUCACCGAUUUUAGGGCUUCGGCUUCCUUCUUCAAGAGCUUCAGCCUCGCCUCUCUUUCUGCAGCAUCUUCU
rnacentral:misc_RNA from 1 species